rnacentral:rRNA from 1 species
UACGUAUGGGGCGAGCGUUGUCCGGAAUGAUUGGGCGUAAAGGGUACGUAGGCGGUUAAUUAAGUCGAGUGUGAAAGGUUGGGGCUCAACCCCAUAAAGCAUUCGAAACUGGUUAACUUGAGAUGUGGAGAGGAAAGUGGAAUUCCUAGUGUAGCGGUGACAUGCGUAGAUAUUAAAAAGAAUACCGGUGGCGAAGGCGACUUACUGGGCUCAUUCUGACGCUGAGGAACGAAAGCGUGGGUAGCAAACAGG